rnacentral:rRNA from 1 species
GAAGGGUGCAAGCGUUACUCGGAAUUACUGGGCGUAAAGCGUGCGUAGGUGGUUUGUUAAGUCUGAUGUGAAAGCCCUGGGCUCAACCUGGGAAUUGCACUGGAUACUGGCAGGCUAGAGUGCGGUAGAGGAUGGCGGUAUUCCCGGUGUAGCAGUGAAAUGCGUAGAGAUCGGGAGGAACAUCUGUGGCGAAGGCGGCCAUCUGGACCAGCACUGACACUGAGGCACGAAAGCGUGGGGAGCAAACAGGAUUAGAUACCCUGGUAGUCCACGCCCUAAACGAUGCGAACUGGAUGUUGGGAGCAACUAGGCUCCCAGUAUCGAAGCUAACGCGUUAAGUUCGCCGCCUGGGGAGUACGGUCGCAAGACUG